AUGGUACUAGUUGGAACCCUUUCUGAUGGCGAAACAUACUGUUAUUCUUAUGGACAGUCCCUGACCUCCUCUCCUUCUGUGGUGAAGAGGCCUGGAGAGUCAGUCACUCUGUCCUGUACUGUCUCUGGAUUCUCAGUGAGCAACUGGAUGAGCUGGAUCCGUCAGAAACCAGGACGAGGACUAGAGUGGAUCGGAUAUAUUGACAGUGGCACUGGCACAACAUUCGCUCAGUCUCUGCAGGGCCAGUUCUCCAUCACUAAAGACACCAAUAAAAACAUGCUGUACCUAGAAGUGAAGAGUCUGAAAGCUGAAGACACGGCUGUUUAG